GAUGAACGCUGGCGGCGUGCCUAAUACAUGCAAGUCGAGCGAACAGACGAGGAGCUUGCUCCUCUGACGUUAGCGGCGGGCGGGUGAGUAACACGUGGAUAACCUACCUAUAAGACUGGGAUAACUUCGGGAAACCGGAGCUAAUACCGGAUAAUAUAUUGAACCGCAGGGUUCAAUAGUGAAAGACGGUUUUGCUGUCACUUAUAGAUGGAUCCGCGCCGCAUUAGCUAGUUGGUAAGGUAACGGCUUACCAAGGCAACGAUGCGUAGCCGACCUGAGAGGAUGAUCGGCCACACUGGAACUGAGACACGGUCCAGACUCCUACGGGAGGCAGCAGUAGGGAAUCUUCCGCAAUGGGCGAAAGCCUGACGGAGCAACGCCGCGUGAGUGAUGAAGGUCUUCGGAUCGUAAAACUCUGUUAUUAGGGAAGAACAAAUGUGUAUGUAACUAUGCACGUCUUGACGGUACCUAAUCAGAAAGCCACGGCUAACUACGUG
rnacentral:rRNA from 1 species